AUGAGGUUGGAUAUCUCUUUCCCAUCUGUCAGAAACUCAUUGAACUGGGUGAUGGAUGAAAGCUUUAUACUUUCUAUGAGAAGUAGUCCCAGAAGUAGCUGCUGCCGAUCUAGGUGAAGAGUAGUAGGGCUGUAUGGUCCUAAGGAUUGGAGGGAAUGACUAACAAGGUUUUCUCAUAGCAGAGUGUCUUGAUCCACGUGUUGCAAAAGGGGCAUUCCUGUUAUACAGCAAGGAGACCAGUCUCUGUAGAUGCAUUGUAGAAGCCAAUCCUAGUGUUCCUAAGUUGGUUAUUGGAAGAAAAGGAGAGAAGGAUAUUCCUUGACUGACAGACCCUAUUGUGCUUUGGUGGCUGGCAUCCAAAAGAGCUGCUAGAACCUCAAAGCUUUUCAAUCUCUCUAAGAAGAUGAUGCUCGACAAUAUAUCAUCAGAAAACCAUUAAUCAAAGAAGGUUAAAAAUCCCAGGACGAAAGCACCCAAGAUUCAGCAUCGUGGUUCAGCAUCAGAACUCCACAUGUUUUCAACACUCAUGUCAAAUAUUGCUCUGAAGAAAUAACACUCUAAGUAAAGAAAGGAGGAGGCUGCAAAGUAUGCCAAUGUUUUAGUCAAUACAAUGAAGGAAGCCAAAGAAAAAUACCAGGAACAGUCUGUCAAGAGAUGUAGAUCUUCUAGUUCUGAGUCCAGUCAAAAA
rnacentral:lncRNA from 1 species